AUCCAGCUGACGAGUUCCAAAUAGGACGAAACACGCGUCCUGAAU
rfam:Schistosoma mansoni strain Puerto Rico chromosome 4, complete genome